GGUUAACAUGAAAGUAGAGCAACUAAACUAUGUGGACUACAACCCUGAGAAUAGUCCAAGAUACAAAAGAAAGAAAAAUGAAACAACAAAAUAAACUACCAAGACUCCUUCCUUGUGGGGAGAGGAGUGGCUUCCCAGUUAGUGAGCUUGAUAUUUGGCCCGACGAACUGCACAUCUGCAUGGCUAGGGCCUUCACCCAUCUGAACCAUGUUUAUUUCAUGAAACAUUUCCUUGAGAUCUUGACAUAUUUCAU
rnacentral:lncRNA from 1 species